rnacentral:misc_RNA from 1 species
UACGGAGGGUGCAAGCAUUAAUCGGAUUUAUUGGGCGUAAAGGGCGCGUAGGCGGAGAUGAAAGUCAGAUGUGAAAGCCUAAGGCUCAACCUUAGAAUUGCAUUUGAAACUUCACCUCUUGAGGGUAGGCGGAGAAAGUGGAAUUCCACAAGUAGCGGUGAAAUGCGUAGAUAUGUGGAAGAAUACCGGUGGCGAAGGCGACUUUCUAGCUUAUACCUGACGCUGAGGCGCGAAAGCAAGGGGAGCGAACAGG